UGGCAGCAGCGCGUUAUCGCCCGCCCCCCUUUGAUGGGGUGGUGGGCGCGUUGUUGGGUAGGGGAGCGUCCUGCGUGGGGCGAAGCCCGGGGGUGACCUCUGGUGGACCGCGUGGGAGUGAGAAUGCAGGCAUGAGUAACGAAUUCUGCGGUGGGAAUCCGCAGCGCCGAUUGACUAAGGGUUCCAGGGCCAGGUUCAUCCGCCCUGGGUUAGUCGGGUCCUAAGGCGAGGCCGACAGGCGUAGUCGAUGGUCGACCAGUUGAUAUUCUGGUACCGCGCGGCGACCGCCAAUGCCGAUACCGUUGUGCUAACCGCCCGCACCUGUUCCCCCGCUGCUUUCGGGCGCGGGGAGGGCGGGUGUCGCGGGGCCCCGGUGGUGGAGGCAAGCGUGUUAACAGGGGUGACGCAGGAAGGUAGCCGCAAUGCGCCGGUGGUUGUGCGUAUUCAAGGCUGUGGCCCGUCUCCUAGGCAAGUCCGGGGGGCAUGGUGGGUGAGAGCUGAGGAGGGACACACGCGUGUGUGGACUUGUGGUGAUCCUAUGCUGCCGAGAAAAACCCCGACGUGAGGGCGCCGCGCGCCCGUACCCCAAACCGACUCAGGUGGUCAGGUAGAGUAUACCGAGGCGUUCGAGUGAAUCAUGGUUAAGGAACUCGGCAAAAUUCCUCCGUAACUUCGGGAUAAGGAGGACCCUUUGGCCUCUUCCCGCCGCGCGCGGGGCGGGGGCCGGGGGGUCGCAGAGAAUAGGGAGAAGCGACUGUUUAUCAAAAACACAGGUGCGUGCGAAGCCGCAAGGCGAUGUAUACGCACUGACGCCUGCCCGGUGCUGGAAGGUUAAGAGGAGCCCUCAGCCCCCCGCGUGGGGGCGAAGGGGCGAAUUCAAGCCCCAGUAAACGGCGGUGGUAACUAUAACCAUCCUAAGGUAGCGAAAUUCCUUGUCGGGUAAGUUCCGACCUGCACGAAUGGCGUAACGACUUCUCCGCUGUCUCAACCGUGAACUCGGUGAAAUUGCAGUACGAGUAAAGAUGCUCGUUUCGCGCAGAAGGACGGAAAGACCCCGGGACCUUUACUAUAGCUUGGUAUUGGUGUCCGCUUGUGCUUGUGUAGGAUAGGUGGGAGACUGUGAAGCCGCGGCGCCAGCCGUGGUGGAGUCGUCGUUGAAAUACCAUUCUGGUUCAAGCGGGCGCCUGAACCUGGGCCCGUGAUCCGGGCUGGGGACAGUGCCUGGUGGGUAGUUUAACUGGGGCGGUUGCCUCCUAAAAUGUAACGGAGGCGCUCAAAGGUUCCCUCAGCCUGGUUGGCAAUCAGGUGGCGAGUGCAAGUGCACAAGGGGGCUUGACUGUGAGACCGACGGGUCGAGCAGGUGCGAAAGCAGGAACUAGUGAUCCGGCCAUGGCACGUGGGUGCGUGGUCGCUCAACGGAUAAAAGGUACCCCGGGGAUAACAGGCUGAUCUUGCCCAAGAGUCCAUAUCGACGGCAUGGUUUGGCACCUCGAUGUCGGCUCGUCGCAUCCUGGGGCUGGAGUUGGUCCCAAGGGUUGGGCUGUUCGCCCAUUAAAGCGGUACGCGAGCUGGGUUCAGAACGUCGUGAGACAGUUCGGUCCCUAUCCUCUGCGCGCGCAGGAAACUUGAUGGAGGGCCGUCCCCAGUACGAGAGGACCGGGAUGGACGAACCUCUGGUGUGCCAGUUGUACCGCCAGGUGCACGGCUGGUUGGCCACGUUCGGAAAGGAUAACCGCUGAAAGCAUCUAAGCGGGAAGCCCGCUCCGAGAUGAGGUUUCCACGCCCCCGCCGUGGGGUGAGAGGCCCCCGCCAGAACAGCGGGUCGAUAGGCCAGAGGUGGAAGCGCCGCGAGGCGCUCGCGAGCCGACUGGUACUAAUGGGCCAACACCACACACAA
rnacentral:rRNA from 1 species